UACGUAGGGGGCGAGCGUUGUCCGGAUUUAUUGGGCGUAAAGAGCUCGUAGGCGGUUCGACAAGUCGGGUGUGAAAACUCCGGGCUCAACCCGGAGACGCCACCCGAUACUGUCGUGACUGGAGUCCGGUAGGGGAGUGGGGAAUUCCUGGUGUAGCGGUGAAAUGCGCAGAUAUCAGGAGGAACACCGGUGGCGAAGGCGCCACUCUGGGCCGGUACUGACGCUGAGGAGCGAAAGCGUGGGUAGCAAACAGG
rnacentral:rRNA from 1 species